GAUGAACGCUGGCGGCGUGCCUAAUACAUGCAAGUCGAGCGAAUGGAUUAAGAGCUUGCUCUUAUGAAGUUAGCGGCGGACGGGUGAGUAACACGUGGGUAACCUGCCCAUAAGACUGGGAUAACUCCGGGAAACCGGGGCUAAUACCGGAUAACAUUUUGAACCGCAUGGUUCGAAAUUGAAAGGCGGCUUCGGUUGUCACUUAUGGAUGGACCCGCGUCGCAUUAGCUAGUUGGUGAGGUAACGGCUCACCAAGGCAACGAUGGGUAGCCGACCAGAGAGGGUGAUCGGCCAAACGGGGAUUGAGACCCGGGCCAGACUACUACAGGGGGCAGCAGUAGGGAAUCGUCGCAAAUGGACGAAAGUCUGACGGAGCAACGCCGCGUGAAUGAAGAAGGAUUUCGGGUCGUAAAACUCUGUUGUUAGGGAAGAACAAGUGCUAGUUGAAUAAGCUGGCACCGUGACGGUACCUAACCAGAAAGCCACGGCUAACUACGUGCCAGCCGCCGCCGUAA
rnacentral:rRNA from 1 species